UGUGAUGCCCUUAGAUGUUCUGGGCCGCACGCGCGCUACACUGAUAGAGUCAGCGAGUACUCCCUUGGCCGGAAGGCCCGGGUAAUCUUGUUAAACUCUAUCGUGCUGGGGAUAGAGCAUUGCAAUUAUUGCUCUUCAACGAGGAAUCCCUAGUAAGCGCAAGUCAUCAGCUUGCGUUGAUUACGUCCCUGCCCUUUGUACACACC
rnacentral:rRNA from 1 species